GAACCACAGAACAAGAGCUCCAGCAGCUCUCGGGAAACCAGCGUCCAUCUGGAACCCAAACUAAAAAGCACAACUGGACCUCAGGCUGUGAAGAAGGAGAAGGGCGCUCAGCACUGAAAUCUGACAUGAGAACAGGAAAACUUUUCUCUUCUGUUUUGCCAUCCUGCAACAGAGAAAGUAAAUUGCUGAAGACAAGGAAAUGAAAGGCUUAACUCAUGUAAGAUU
rnacentral:lncRNA from 10 species